rnacentral:lncRNA from 1 species
CAAAUAUAGUUGACCUAUUGCGUAUGGUAAUUGAAAAACAGACAAAACACACACUUGACAUGGACCAAUGAAACAUGAAAUUAGACCAAGGUAAGAUUAAACCUAACAGACAGAAAUGUGCACAUAAAAUUUCAUUCCAUGUACACCAAACACAUUUGACCUAUUGCAUCAAGUACUUGAAAAACAGACCAAAACACAAAAACUUAUCAUUGACAAUUGAACCUUACAAAUGAGGUCAAGGUAGGAUGAAAGCUGACAGACAGACAUGUACCUAUAACAUUCAUCCUAUUAUACAUCAAAUAUAGUUGUUCUACUGCUUAUAGUAUCUCAAAAACAGACCAGCA